GACGAACGCUGGCGGCGUGCUUAACACAUGCAAGUCGAGCGGUAAGGCCCUUUCGGGGGUACACGAGCGGCGAACGGGUGAGUAACACGUGGGUGACCUGCCCUCAGCUCUGGGAUAAGCCUGGGAAACCGGGUCUAAUACUGGAUAUGACUCCAUGACGCAUGUUGUGGGGUGGAAAGCCUUGUGCGGCUGAGGAUCGGGCCCGCGGCCUAUCAGCUUGUUGGUGGGGUGAUGGCCUACCAAGGCGACGACGGGUAGCCGGCCUGAGAGGGCGACCGGCC
rnacentral:rRNA from 1 species